rnacentral:rRNA from 1 species
UUGGUAAGGGAACGGCUUACCAAGGCUGUUAUGAGGCAUAGCCGACUUGAGAGAUUGAUCCCUCACUUUGGAACUGAGACUCGGACCACCCUCCUAAUGCAGGCACCGCUUUGGAAUCUUCCACAAAGGACGAACUUANGAUGGAGCAACGCCGCGUGAGUGAAGAAGGUUUUCGGAUCGUAAAGCUCUGUUGUUGGUGAAUAAGGAUAGAGGUAGUAACUGGCCUUUAUUUGACGGUAAUCAACCAGAAAGUCACGGCUAACUACGUGCCACCAGCCGCGGUAAUACGUAGGUGGCAAGCGUUGUCCGGAUUUAUUGGGCGUAAAGCGAGCGCAGGCGGAUUGAUAANUCUGAUGUGAAAGCCUUCGGCUCAACCGAAGAACUGCAUCANAAACUGUCAAUCUUGAGUGCAGAAGAGGAGAGUGGAACUCCAUGUGUAGCGGUGGAAUGCGUAGAUAUAUGGAANAACACCAGUGGCGAAGGCGGCUCUCUGGUCUGUGACUGACGCUGAAGCUCGAAAGCAUGNGUAGCGAACAGGAUUAGAUACCCUGGUAGUCCAUGCCGUAAACGAUGAGUGCUAAGUGUUGGGAGGUUUCCGCCUCUCACUGCUGCAGCUAACCCAUUAAGCACUCCGCCUGGGGAGUACGAC